GACGAACGCUGGCGGCGUGCCUAACACAUGCAAGUCGAACGAAACUUCUUUAAAGGAUUUCUUCGGAAUGAAUUUGAUUAAGUUUAGUGGCGGACGGGUGAGUAACGCGUGAGUAACCUGCCUCUAAGAGGGGAAUAACAUUCUGAAAAGAAUGCUAAUACCGCAUAACAUAUAUUUAUCGCAUGGUAGAUAUAUCAAAGAUUUAUCGCUUAGAGAUGGACUCGCGUCCGAUUAGUUAGUUGGUGAGGUAACGGCUCACCAAGACCGCGAUCGGUAGCCGGACUGAGAGGUUGAACGGCCACAUUGGGACUGAGACACGGCCCAGACUCCUACGGGAGGCAGCAGUGGGGGAUAUUGCGCAAUGGGGGAAACCCUGACGCAGCAACGCCGCGUGAAGGAUGAAGGUCUUCGGAUUGUAAACUUCUUUUAUUAAGGACGAAGAAAGUGACGGUACUUAAUGAAUAAGCUC
rnacentral:rRNA from 1 species